rnacentral:miRNA from 1 species
GAUCAGGGCCUUUCUGAGUAAG